ensembl:lncRNA
UGCUGAUUGAAGCAUUUUCAUGAUGACUGCUUUGAAAUAUUUGUGAAAUAAUUCUAAUAUCUCUGUCAUCUUGAUGUUCUCAUGUACUGAUCAUCUCUUUUCACUCAGUUUGAGAACUUCUUGCAUCUUUGCAUUACAAAUGAUUUUCAAUUGAAAUCUGGAUAUUUGGGAUAUUAUAUUUUGAGACUCUCAAUCUUAUUUAAACCUCUGUUUUAGCUAGCUUCCUCUGAUACUAGUCCAGAAGGGAAAGGGGGUACAGCUUUGUCACUGCCAGGUAUAGGUAAAAGCCCAAGUCUCCCCACCUUGGCCACUACUGACACCUAAGUGGGAGGGCUCCUUGUUACUGCUGGAUGGGAGUGAGAGUUUUGGUUACCCAGGAGGCUUCCACUGAAACCUCCCUAGGUAGGAGGGAUGGAAGUGGUUUGUUUCUGCUCUCAUUGUGGCCUCCACUGGCACAUUACAGGGUGGGGCAGCCUUCUUACUGCUGGGCAGUUUCUAAUGCUCUGACUCUCUAGUAAGCCUCCUCUGUCUAACACCACCUUAGUAGGGAGGAAGAAGGGUGCCUCACUACUCUUGGGUUUGGGUGGAAAUCCAGGUUCUCACUGAUGCUGUUUUCGGAGGGAAGGAAAUUGUUAACUCCUGACAGGGAUGAAAGUCCUAUUUCUCUACUCAAACUUCUCUAUACUACCCUGGGGUUGGGGAGAGGAAGUUGGGAUGCCUUGUUCUAACCUAGCAAGUGUUCAUGCUAGGCUCCCCACUGGGAUUUUGCAGAAAUGAGUGGGAUGGGUGUUUGUGUGGUGCUUGGCUGGAGCAAAGUGGUAUCGUCCCAGUGCUUUCUGUCUUUCUAGGUUGCCACGUUCUUGAUCCUUGGGCUAAAGAGAACAGGCUUUUGUUGUGGCUUUUUUUGGUCUGUACUAGUUGGGAGCUUUCAGUUGCAGCCUUCUUCAGCUCCACGUUUUGGAUAUAUGAGGCAAAAAUAAAAUCCAGAGAACUCACCAUCAUGUUGUUCCUUGGGUCCUGAAGUCCCUGGCUGGUCUGUCUUCUUUUAUCCAUAAUUCAGAGUCUCCUUACAUUUGUUUUACAUAUAAUAUCCAGUUUUUAAUUGUACCUACUGGGAGGGUUGGGAAAAACUGCAUCUACUGCAUCUUUCGAGAAGUGGAUGUCUCCUAUUUCUUUUUCUUUUCUAUUUCUUUUUUUUUUUUCUGAGGAAGAUUAGCCCUGAGCUAACUAUAGCCAAUCCUCCUCUUUUUGCUGAGGAGGACUGGCCCUGAGCUAACAUCAUGCCCAUCUUCCUCUACUUUAUACGUGGGAGGGCUACCACGGCAUGGCUUGCCAAGUGGUGCCACGUCCGCACCUGGGAUCUGAACCAGUGAACCCCGGGCCGCCAAGAAGCAGAACGUGCGAACUUAACCGCUGUACCACCAGGCUGGCCCCUCAUUUUUUUUUUUUUAAUUAGGAGGGCAACAUACAAUUUUCUCAUUAGGUUCUCUAAGAAAGUUAAACAGAAUUAUGAAAAACUGAUUGGUAUAUUCUGUAUUAAAAAGAGAAAACUUGAGAUAGAGAAAUCAUUUCUCUCUGUAAUUUAUUUUUUAAUAUCCAUUUUUCUUCCACUUUCCAUUUCUAUCAGUUUGUUUCUUGACUAGUUUGUCACCAAUAGAUGCUCCUUUAGGACUCACAACACUUCUAUUUAGAAGUGAGAUUUUCGCACUUGAAAGUUCUUACUGAAUGACUUCUGCAUGGAGACGUGUCUCCUCCUUCAUUGUUGUUCCCUUAUGCUUAUCACAAGACCAGGCUACAUACUAGUAUUUAAUAAAUAUCUGCUGAAUAAGUGAAGGAGAACUGAAAAUUAAAAUUUUCUUUUCUCUGAGGGCUUACCUACUUUCUUCUUGCCAUGCUGAAGCAUGAGGCACAUAUGCCUGCCAUGCUUGAUUCCCGACCAGGCAUUUGUAAGCCUGUGCUUAGGACAUUAGCAAAAUUUGUCCAGAAUUUUGCAGUCUAGGAAAAAGCAAUUUUAAUUUCAGCACAUGUGUAAAUUUUUGUUUUAUGGUUUAGAAUUCUUUGUAUUUUGAAUUACAAACAAGAGGAUAACAGAAUGGUUCCCAUGAGUGUAUGUGUCACUCCUAUUGCUCCUAAAGAAAGUGACAAGAAUAUGACAUUAAAAAGAUUGUAGGCCAUUUUUAGGAUGUGUUUCCUUGAUCCCCGAAUCCUUUUUUUAUUUUGGAUGAUUUUCUUUUUUUAGGCAAGUCCUGGUUUGAUUGUCUUUUUAAAUCUUCGUCCUGUAUUGUGCAAUGUGUAUGUGUGUAUACACAGAGAAGGGAUAACAUUGGACCAUCAUUUUUUAGGGCACUGAACAUAAUUUUAAAUUUUUUGGCAAGCACAAUUAUACUUUAGAUAACGAUUCCCCCAUCAUUGAAACAUUCUUUAAUGCAUGUAGGAGAACAUGAUUCUUUUUAGUACUACCAAAUAUGUUUGGUUCAAAUACUAAUAAUACUUGCUUUUCUGCUUGUCUUUAGAUUCUGCUUAAGGAAAUGAUGAAAGAUUUAACUCACUGUACUUUUGUUAGAAAGUAUGGAAAUGUUUGUCCAUGGGAGCUUUCGUAGCCUGCUAGAAUGGAAAUUCAUCGGGGUGGGGGGAACCACUUCAUUUACUGCCUAAGAGCUGUGGAUACAUUCCCUGCAUCUUUCAAAGGCAUCUUUCAUGCCACACAAGCAAACUGUAGCCAGUGAAGGAACAGAAAGAGCACCUCUUGCAUGAGCCAAUGUCAGCUAACUUGCACAGCAGCUGUGCUAGGUACCAAUGAGGAUUACCGCCGGACCCAGUUGCAAGGUUCUGUGUGGUUGAAGAGACAACUGACUGUCUCAGGGGACCACUUUGAUGGAGAUUGCAGCAAUAAUGCAUCCCCACUGUUGCUAGUAGAUAUCACGGCCAUGUAGUACAAAAUCGGUGCCCGAAAAAAUCAGAAAGUAAUAAAAAGGAAAGAGAAACCUCAGAGAUUUUACAUCUUAAUGUGAGAGACUAAAACAAAUAUCCCGGGCUUGUUGCAUUCACUCGUAAGGAAAAGGAGGCAGUGGAAGGGAUGCCUUUAACUGAGAAAACUUGCAGGGCGUUCAGUCUUUUCGUUUGAGAACUAUUUGGGUGUGUUGUGAAAUAAAGUUGCAGAGUAGGCAUUCAGACCUUUAUGUGCUACAUUUAGUAGGAAAGAUUCCCCCACCCCUCCCUUAACUACAAGAAGCCAGAGUUUUCUGUGCAAACUGAAACAGGCGUUGCAAGAAUCAGAUUCACUUUGGACGACUCUUCACAUUCCAAGUCAUCAUUGCAUUAGGCAGCACAAUUCCAUCUCUGGUUGAUGGGCAGAAAAAGUGGGCAGCUUGCCAGGUAGACGUUUCCAUGACUCCCAGCCCCCAAAGGUGAUGCGUUUUUCAGCUAAUUCAAUGAAGAGUGGGCUGAACUUUGGGUCUAAACGAGACAAUAGCUGCCUUCGCAGUAUCAGCAGAAUGGUUGAUGGGAAUGCUCUCUACAUUUGGCAGAGAAUCAUGUGACCUUACGACUGAGAUUUUGUGAUGGUGCCAACGGAGACUUGGAAAAGCAGCACCCGUCCUGACUUUUUUCUUCUUUUCUAGCAUGGCUCAGAAAAUGGUGGAUCUUAAUACUUGACUUUAGCCAGACUCAGCAAGCGACUGAGCUUUGAAGCACAACUUCGCCUUUAUUCUGGGUUUUUGGCAGGCCACCAGGAGGCUGUCCCUUUCACGCCUGAUAAAUUCUGCUGCUUAUCUCUAAAUAGGGAGAAAAAAAAGAGGAAAAUAUAAACAGACUAUUGGGGCAUAACAAGUGAAUCCUAAAAUUGUACGUGCUUUUUGGUCUUUUGCUUUUUCUUACUGCUGAUUUUUUAUAUCCUUUCUGCUUGCUGAAGAAUCCAAGUAGUUCUUUUUUUUUUUUUUUUUUUUUUGGGUUAUAAUGAACAGGCAUUUGAACUGGGCAAACAGGACGAGAGCAGCAGUGAGCAUGAGAUCAUUGCAGCAGAGUGUAGCAACCUGGCACCCUGCCUUCUCACCCUUUUGGUUCAGGAGACAAACGUGUGCAAUCCUCAUUUCUAAAGUCAGCACAGCCUGGAAGAAUUCCUGGUUGCUCCCACCUUCUACCAUUCUGCUGCCAGGAACGGCAAGGAUUGGUGCAGCUUCUGCGCAGUGCUUUGUGCCUGGAAUCCCGAGAAGGAAGAAAAAGAAGAUAAGCACCCUGGUCCUUUUUUCCAAGAAAUAACAGGAGCCCGGAAGAAAAAAAACUCUGAGUUUGUCCUACUCCAUGCAACAGUGCUGAACAAAACUGAGACGCUCCUGCUCAAAACAAAAACAAAAACAAACAAACAAAAAUCCAAACCAAAACAAACCAAAAAAGGCAAACAUUGGCUUGUGUAACUGCAGAGACAUCGGGCUUUGUAAAGCAGCUUUGUAAGGCAACCUAACCAAAUGAGCCUUCUUUAUUUUUGUUAUUUCAAAAAUAUGGCAUAAUUAGCAAUAUAUUGCACUUGGUGAAAUCGCACCUUUCAUAUCAGGGAAAAACUUAAAAUGGAUAUGAGAAGUGAAGAAAGUGAUCAUAGGAGAAAAUCAUCUCAGUAGGUGUCUGACGAUUUGUGAGCACCAAGUGACUAUUCUGUGGAAUCAUCUUUCCUUGCCUUUGAAAUUAGCUUUCUGUAGGCCGUGAGUCAACAACAAUAUUUGAUACAUCCAAGUUGGAUUGGACAAGCACGUUGUCGAAAGGAUGCCCUGGCAUGGUAUGUGUUUUCACCCACAGGAAUGCACCAGAGAAGGAGGCACAGGAGGCACUGCAAGGGAAUGACUCAAGCUAGAGUUGAUUUGCUUCCCUCUGAAGCCUUUUGAAGCCUGUGUAUAGAUCACUGCUGUAGCAAUGGCUUGGAUGAAAUAGCAGCCAAAGGCCCUGGAGAAGGCCCCAGGAAAAUGCUUCUCUACAUCUUGCUUGCUGCAUCUUUAUCCAAAGCCAUGACUGAGGUUUGUUGAGCUGCUGACAUAGAAGACAGACACUGAUGCAGAGUAUGGGGAGGAUUGAUCAGCUGAAGCACCUAGGCAAGAGG